AGGUAUAUUUUUUUAUUCAAAACAUUUUGAUGUUGGAUUUUAAUCUUCUUGAGCAUUUUGUUAAUCUAGAGAUGAUAGGCUAGAUUUUUAGCUUGGGCUUCAAUGAGUAACUCAUGACUAUUUGGGGUUGGAUUCUCUUCAAUAUUUAGUGCUUUUGAUGAUUAA